rnacentral:rRNA from 1 species
AAAUUGAAGAGUUUGAUCAUGGCUCAGAUUGAACGCUGGCGGCAGGCCUAACACAUGCAAGUCGAACGGUAACAGGAAGCAGCUUGCUGCUUCGCUGACGAGUGGCGGACGGGUGAGUAAUGUCUGGGAAACUGCCUGAUGGAGGGGGAUAACUACUGGAAACGGUGGCUAAUACCGCAUAACGUCGCAAGACCAAAGAGGGGGACCUUCGGGCCUCUUGCCAUCAGAUGUGCCCAGAUGGGAUUAGCUUGUUGGUGAGGUAACGGCUCACCAAGGCGACGAUCCCUAGCUGGUCUGAGAGGAUGACCAGCCACACUGGAACUGAGACACGGUCCAGACUCCUACGGGAGGCAGCAGUGGGGAAUAUUGCACAAUGGGCGCAAGCCUGAUGCAGCCAUGCCGCGUGUAUGAAGAAGGCCUUCGGGUUGUAAAGUACUUUCAGCGGGGAGGAAGGUGUUGCGGUUAAUAACCGCAGCAAUUGACGUUACCCGCAGAAGAAGCACCGGCUAACUCCGUGCCAGCAGCCGCGGUAAUACGGAGGGUGCAAGCGUUAAUCGGAAUUACUGGGCGUAAAGCGCACGCAGGCGGUCUGUCAAGUCGGAUGUGAAAUCCCCGGGCUCAACCUGGGAACUGCAUUCGAAACUGGCAGGCUUGAGUCUUGUA